UACGUAGGGUGCGAGCGUUAAUCGGAAUUACUGGGCGUAAAGCGUGCGCAGGCGGUUUUGUAAGCCAGAUGUGAAAUCCCCGGGCUUAACCUGGGAAUUGCAUUUGUGACUGCACGGCUAGAGUGUGUCAGAGGGGGGUAGAAUUCCACGUGUAGCAGUGAAAUGCGUAGAGAUGUGGAGGAAUACCGAUGGCGAAGGCAGCCCCCUGGGAUAACACUGACGCUCAUGCACGAAAGCGUGGGGAGCAAACAGG
rnacentral:rRNA from 1 species